rnacentral:rRNA from 1 species
CCUACGGGUGGCAGCAGUGGGGAAUUUUGGACAAUGGGCGCAAGCCUGAUCCAGCUAUUCCGCGUGUGGGAAGACGGCCUUCGGGUUGUACACCACUUUUGUAGAGAACGAAAAGUCUGUUGAUAAUACCGAUAGAUGAUGACGGUACUCUAAGAAUAAGCACCGGCUAACUACGUGCCAGCAGCCGCGGUAAUACGUAGGGUGCGAGCGUUAAUCGGAAUUACUGGGCGUAAAGGGUGUGCAGGCGGUUUUGCAAGAUGGAUGUGAAAGCCCCGGGCUUAACCUGGGAAAGCCAUACAUGACUGCAAGACUAGAGUGCGUCAGAGGGGGGUGGAAUUCCAAGUGUAGCAGUGAAAUGCGUAGAUAUUUGGAAGAACACCGAUGGCGAAGGCAGCCCCCUGGGACGCAACUGACGCUCAUACACGAAAGCGUUGGGAGCAAACAGGAUUAGAUACCCGUGUAGUC